AGUGAACGCUGGCGGUAGGCCUAACACAUGCAAGUCGAACGGCAGCACAGUAAGAGCUUGCUCUUACGGGUGGCGAGUGGCGGACGGGUGAGGAAUACAUCGGAAUCUACUUUUUCGUGGGGGAUAACGUAGGGAAACUUACGCUAAUACCGCAUACGACCUACGGGUGAAAGCAGGGGAUCUUCGGACCUUGCGCGAUUGAAUGAGCCGAUGGCGGAUUAGCUAGUUGGCGGGGUAAAGGCCCACCAAGGCGACGAUCCGUAGCUGGUCUGAGAGGAUGAUCGGCCACACUGGAACUGAGACACGGUCCAGACUCCUACGGGAGGCAGCAGUGGGGAAUAUUGGACAAUGGGCGCAAGCCUGAUCCAGCCAUACCGCGUGGGUGAAGAAGGCCUUCGGGUUGUAAAGCCCUUUUGUUGGGAAAGAAAAGCAGCAGGUUAAUACCCCGCUGUUCUGACGGUACCCAAAGAAUAAGCACCGGCUAACUUCGUG
rnacentral:rRNA from 1 species